GCUUAGUGGCGAACGGGUGAGUAACGCGUGAGUAACCUGCCCUAGAGUGGGGGACAACAGUUGGAAACGACUGCUAAUACCGCAUAAGCCCACGGUGCCGCAUGACACUGAGGGAAAAGGAUUUAUUCGCUUUAGGAUGGACUCGCGUCCAAUUAGCUAGUUGGUGAGGUAACGGCCCACCAAGGCGACGAUUGGUAGCCGGACUGAGAGGUUGAACGGCCACAUUGGGACUGAGACACGGCCCAGACUCCUACGGGAGGCAGCAGUGGGGGAUAUUGCACAAUGGGGGAAACCCUGAUGCAGCGACGCCGCGUGGAGGAAGAAGGUUUUCGGAUUGUAAACUCCUGUCGUUAGGGACGAUAAUGACGGUACCUAACAAGAAAGCACCGGCUAACUACGUGCCAGCAGCCGCGGUAAAACGUAGGGUGCAAGCGUUGUCCGGAAUUACUGGGUGUAAAGGGAGCGCAGGCGGGAAGACAAGUUGGAAGUGAAAACCAUGGGCUCAACCCAUGAAUUGCUUUCAAAACUGUUUUUCU
rnacentral:rRNA from 1 species